AUGGAGGGAGGGGACUUCCACAAGAGCGGCUCGCCAGAGGAUACCGGCGGGUCAAGGCGGGCGCCGGCAUACUACGAGUGCAGUUUCUGCAAGAGGGGGUUCACCAACGCGCAGGCGCUCGGCGGGCACAUGAACAUCCACCGCAAGGACCGCGGUGGCAGCGGAGGCAAGUCUCGUGGGGCUGCGCCGCCGGCUGCCGGCCAGCAAGACGGUGCCGGUGGGAAUCAGGCUCACUUGGGGCUUACCUUGGGAAGGGAUGGGGACAGCAGGGAGGACGUGGACUUGGAGCUCCGGCUUGGCCACUACCCUUACAACUAG
rnacentral:rRNA from 1 species